UACGUAGGGUGCGAGCGUUGUCCGGAAUUAUUGGGCGUAAAGGGCUCGUAGGCGGUUUGUCGCGUCGGGAGUGAAAAUCCAGGGCUUAACCCUGGGCUGGCUUCCGAUACGGGCAGACUAGAGGUAUGCAGGGGAGAACGGAAUUCCUGGUGUAGCGGUGAAAUGCGCAGAUAUCAGGAGGAACACCGGUGGCGAAGGCGGUUCUCUGGGCAUUACCUGACGCUGAGGAGCGAAAGCGUGGGGAGCAAACAGG
rnacentral:rRNA from 1 species